UACGAAGGGGGCUAGCGUUGCUCGGAAUUACUGGGCGUAAAGCGCACGUAGGCGGCUUUCUAAGUCGGGGGUGAAAUCCUGGAGCUCAACUCCAGAACUGCCUCGAUACUGGAGAGCUCGAGUCCGGGAGAGGUGAGUGGAACUGCGAGUGUAGAGGUGAAAUUCGUAGAUAUUCGGACAAGACACCAGUGGCGAAGGCGGCUCACUGGCCGUGA
rnacentral:rRNA from 1 species